UUUUAACUGAAAAACUGGGAGCACUAGCAGUUCUUCACAAGGAAAGUGGAUUGGACAAUGCCGCUAGCUCGGAUGGUGCCCCAUAUGGAUGUCGAUCAUGGGCGACGUGAAGAGGGACAAGGUAGAGAAAGGGGUCUGGUUGGCGCCGCAUUAGAGGUGAGAGAGGGGGCCGGGGUUGCGUCGCCGCCGAGAUGCGCGAGGGGAUCGGAGCUGUGCCAAGCGGAUUCAUCAGAGCACUUCGCUCCUGCUGCCUUUGGCUUGAUGCUUAGAUGGAUUGAUGCGGAUCCUUCAGUUUUGUUGGAUCAGAAGUAAGAGCACCGGGACUUCAAGGACGAUGUAGAUUGUCGAAGGCUAAGUUACAGAGUGCGUGGGCAGCAGUACCAGAGCAAGAACCUCGCGCGUGACGGAGUUGCUGUGGUAAAGAAGCAAAACUCAAUGACUAACUCU